rnacentral:rRNA from 1 species
GACGAACGCUGGCGGCGUGCUUAACACAUGCAAGUCGAACGGAAAGGCCCUGCUUUUGUGGGGUGCUCGAGUGGCGAACGGGUGAGUAACACGUGAGUAACCUGCCCUUGACUUUGGGAUAACUUCAGGAAACUGGGGCUAAUACCGGGUAGGAGCUCCUGCUGCAUGGUGGGGGUUGGAAAGUUUCGGCGGUUGGGGAUGGACUCGCGGCUUAUCAGCUUGUUGGUGGGGUAGUGGCUUACCAAGGCUUUGACGGGUAGCCGGCCUGAGAGGGUGACCGGCCACAUUGGGACUGAGAUACGGCCCAGACUCCUACGGGAGGCAGCAGUGGGGAAUAUUGCACAAUGGGCGGAAGCCUGAUGCAGCAACGCCGCGUGCGGGAUGACGGCCUUCGGGUUGUAAACCGCUUUCGCCUGUGACGAAGCGUGAGUGACGGUAAUGGGUAAAGAAGCACCGGCUAACUACGUGCCAGCAGCCGCGGUGAUACGUAGGGCGCGAGCGUUGUCCGGAUUUAUUGGGCGUAAAGGGCUCGUAGGUGGUUGAUCGCGUCGGAAGUGUAAUCUUGGGGCUUAACCCUGAGCGUGCUUUCGAUACGGGUUGACUUGAGGAAGGUAGGGGAGAAUGGAAUUCCUGGUGGAGCGGUGGAAUGCGCAGAUAUCAGGAGGAACACCAGUGGCGAAGGCGGUUCUCUGGGCCUUUCCUGACGCUGAGGAGCGAAAGCGUGGGGAGCGAACAGGCUUAGAUACCCUGGUAGUCCACGCUGUAAACGGUGGGUACUAGGUGUGGGGUCCAUUCCACGGGUUCCGUGCCGUAGCUAACGCUUUAAGUACCCCGCCUGGGGAGUACGGCCGCAAGGCUAAAACUCAAAGGAAUUGACGGGGCCCCGCACAAGCGGCGGAGCAUGCGGAUUAAUUCGAUGCAACGCGUAGAACCUUACCUGGGUUUGACAUGGAUCGGGAGUGCUCAGAGAUGGGUGUGCCUCUUUUGGGGUCGGUUCACAGGUGGUGCAUGGCUGUCGUCAGCUCGUGUCGUGAGAUGUUGGGUUAAGUCCCGCAACGAGCGCAACCCUUGUUCACUGUUGCCAGCACGUUAUGGUGGGGACUCAGUGGAGACCGCCGGGGUCAACUCGGAGGAAGGUGGGGAUGACGUCAAGUCAUCAUGCCCCUUAUGUCCAGGGCUUCACGCAUGCUACAAUGGCUGGUACAGAGAGUGGCGAGCCUGUGAGGGUGAGCGAAUCUCGGAAAGUCGGUCUCAGUUCGGAUUGGGGUCUGCAACUCGACCUCAUGAAGUCGGAGUCGCUAGUAAUCGCAGAUCAGCAACGCUGCGGUGAAUACGUUCCCGGG